UACAGAGGGGGGCAAGCGUUAUUCGGAAUUAUUGGGCGUAAAGGGCGCGUAGGCGGCCAUUCAAGUGACGGGUGAAAGCCCUCGGCUUAACCGAGGAACUGCCUGUCAGACUGGAUGGCUUGAGACCGGGAGAGGUGAGUGGAAUUCCCAGUGUAGCGGUGAAAUGCGUAGAUAUUGGGAGGAACACCAGUGGCGAAGGCGGCUCACUGGACCGGUACUGACGCUGAUGCGCGAAAGCGUGGGGGAGCAAACAGG
rnacentral:rRNA from 1 species